GGACGGUGAUGAAAAACCUUGAGAAAAACACACCAUCUUUCGGGGCUGAUUGGCGCCGCCGCCGUGCGUGCGCCAUGCUGCCAACUCUGCAAUACUGAUGUCC
rnacentral:snoRNA from 1 species